UUCAGUUCUGAUUUCUUCAACUCUGAUUCCAUAUAUAUAUGCAGUGGUAUAGCGUGCAGGAGGUUCAAAAGUCAUGUUAUGCAGCUUGAAGCCCUAUUGAGAGGAGUGGCGCCAAUGUUGACAGCAAUAGGUUGAGGACUAGCAAAAGAAAGAUCAAAAGGCCAAUAAAGUACAUUAACUACCGGGAUUAUACACGGUAUUAUGUGGAGUAAGGGCUACAUAGGAGGAAAGAUCGCUGCAGAUAAAGGUUUGAAGCUUGUUAAAGUCUAGUGUGGUCAAAGUCGUAACUAGUAUCUUCUAUCUCCUAAGAAUCAAGUUUUGCCUUGUCCACAAUGUCUGAAUAGUUCAACUGUUGGCUCAAUCAUUAUGUAACUGUUGGCUAGGUUUAGAGUUGGAACUAUGAAUUGUAUUUUGGAUGAUGUUGAUGCAAUGAAACAUAGGCAUCAUUUUGAAUGCUGAUUUUAGUCCAAUUUUAUGGUUUUGAUGAUUGUAGAUGAAUGAUGUUGAAAUUGUUG